UACGUCAUACCUUCUAUAUUUAUAAACUUGCUUCGUUCAAGUUUUGUUCAUUAACUCGUCAGACACCACGCAAGUAACAAUUUGUGCAAUCUGAUACUUAAAUAAUGCGUGUGGUAAUUAUUCUCGCAUUGAUGAGCUGCCUGGUGAUGUCUGCUGUUUCGAAAGACGAGUGCAAUUGUUAUGUCAACGAAAUACCAAAGAAGACAGCCGAUGGCUUGCAGUGUGCAAACGAGAAAACUGGUGCUUUAAGCCCUUGCAAAAUAAUGGUUCCACCACCAACGCUGAAUAUGGGACCACCACGAUUUCAUUAAGUAAAUUUUGCAUGCUUUUUUAUUGUUAUGAAUAAAAUGUUUUGCGUGUGAAAUUAAUUUCAUUUUUAUAUUCGAUUGUAACGUCCGGUUUUGAUAAUGCAAAAUAAAAACUAUUGUGUUGUGACAUUUAUAA